UACGUAGGGGCCAAGCGUUGUCCGGAUUUAUUGGGCGUAAAGAGCUCGUAGGCGGUUGGGUAAGUCGGGUGUGAAAUCUCGGAGCUUAACUCCGAAACUGCAUUCGAUACUGCCGUGCUUGAGGACUGGAGAGGAGACUGGAAUUUACGGUGUAGCGGUGAAAUGCGUAGAUAUCGUAAGGAAGACCAGUGGCGAAGGCGGGUCUCUGGACAGUUCCUGACGCUGAGGCACGAAGGUCAGGGGAGCAAACGGG
rnacentral:rRNA from 1 species